rnacentral:rRNA from 1 species
UACGAGAGGCCCAAACGUUAUUCGGAUUUACUGGGCUUAAAGAGUUCGUAGGCGGUGCAGAAAGUGGGGUGUGAAAGCCCUCGGCUCAACCGAGGAAUUGCGCUCCAAACUACUGUGCUAGAGGAAGCUAGAGGUGAGCAGAACAGAUGGUGGAGCGGUGAAAUGCGUUGAUAUCAUCUGGAAUACCGGAGGCGAAGGCGGCUCUCUAGUACGGUACUGACGCUGAGACGCGAAAGCGUGGGGAGCGAACAGG